GGUGGCUGAGCAGGUGGCAAGAUGCUAGCCCAUUGAAAUAAACUGAAUAUUACUGGGCUCCGGGUUUGAUGUUUGAUAUUCUAUACGUUGUCCCUUUUCUUUUCAGCAUCUGCACAAUUUGUCCUUUUUUCACACAUUGGGUGUUCGAUGUUUUCUUGAACGGGCUCCAUGGUGUUGCUUUGCUUCGUGUGACUGCCUGCGGAAGGAGAAACCUCAGGGUUGUAUUCUGUAUGCACACUUUGAUAAUAGAUGUACUUUGAAUCUUUGAUUGGCAACUUGAAGUUUUUGGACUUCGUUUUAUGUUCGAUUAGGAACUGACUUAUUAUUGCUUUAUUGGUCAAAUCACUUAAUUUGUUAUAUAUAAAUAAAAAUUAAAAUAAAAACUGUCUGUAUUUUAUGGUCUCAGAUCAGAACAAAUCAAAGUAACAACAAAGUCAUGGUUAUGUCACGGAUUCCACAAGCCUUCCCAGGAACUGAAACCUACCUACUGUGAUCACCAUUUGGAUUAUUCUGUUCAGUUCUGGUCGCUUCAUUAUAGGAAGGAUAUGGAAUCUUUGGAGAGAGUGCAGAGUAGAUCUACUGGGAUGCUGCCUGGAUUAGAGAGUGUGUCUUAUGAAGUUAGGCUGCCUCAAUGGAGCAAGCUGUUCCGAAAGAUUGGGUAGGAAUUUUCCCAUGUAGUGGACCAUUCCCAUAAACUUCUGAACAUCCUUUUUACAUUGCGGUCUUGGCACGUUCUCAGUAGCAGAAACGUUCAAUGGAUCAGGACGCACGCCCUCAUUGCUGAUGAUAUCACCCACAAAGGGCAAUAUCUCCUUGUGCAAUUGGAUCCUCGAUUUCCUCACUUACAGACUCCUGUCAAUUCAGAUUGGCAACAACAUCUAUUUAAAAUCACCAUCAGUAGAGGUGCACCGCCAGGCUGUGUGCUUAGCCCCCUGCUCUACUCGCUUUCUACUUAUGACUGAGAGGCAAAGUACAGCUCCAGUGCCAUAAAGUAAGCUUGCCGACAACAUCACUUUUAUUGGCCAAGUCAAAGGUGAUGAUGAAUCAGCAUAUAGGAGGGAGAUUGAAAAUCUAAUUGAAUGGUGCCACAACCUCUUACUCACAACACGCUGGAGGAACUCAGCAGGUUGGGCAGCAUCUGUGAACGAUCAGUCAACGUUAUAGGCCGGAACCCUUCA